rnacentral:rRNA from 1 species
CCUACGGGAGGCAGCAGUGAGGAAUAUUGGACAAUGGGCGCAAGCCUGAUCCAGCCAUGCCGCGUGCAGGAAGAAGCAUCUAUGGUGUGUAAACUGCUUUUGUACAGGAAGAAACACUCCCUCGUGAGGGAGCUUGACGGUACUGUAAGAAUAAGGACCGGCUAACUCCGUGCCAGCAGCCGCGGUAAUACGGAGGGUCCGAGCGUUAUCCGGAAUCAUUGGGUUUAAAGGGUCCGUAGGCGGUUUAAUAAGUCAGUGGUGAAAUCUGGUCGCUCAACGAUCCAACGGCCAUUGAUACUGUUAGACUUGAAUUAUAAGGAAGUAACUAGAAUAUGUAGUGUAGCGGUGAAAUGCUUAGAUAUUACAUGGAAUACCAAUUGCGAAGGCAGGUUACUACUUAUGGAUUGACGCUGAUGGACGAAAGCGUGGGGAGCGAACAGGAUUAGAUACCCUGGUAGUCCACGCCGUAAACGAUGGAUACUAGCUGUUCGGAGCAACCUGAGUGGCUAAGCGAAAGUGAUAAGUAUCCCACCUGGGGAGUACGUUCGCAAGAAUGAAACUCAAAGUAGUAGUAGACGUCGUAGAGUAGCGACGACGGACCACGACGGGUUAGGGAGGUU